rnacentral:rRNA from 1 species
GAUGAACGCUGGCGGCGUGCUUAACACAUGCAAGUCGAACGAAGCACUUUAAUUGAUUUCUUCGGAAUGAAGUUUUUGUGACUGAGUGGCGGACGGGUGAGUAACGCGUGGGUAACCUGCCUCACACAGGGGGAUAACAGUUGGAAACGACUGCUAAUACCGCAUAAGCGCACAGGAUUGCAUGAUCCAGUGUGAAAAACUCCGGUGGUAUGAGAUGGACCCGCGUCUGAUUAGCCAGUUGCGGGGUAACGGCCCACCAAAGCGACGAUCAGUAGCCGACCUGAGAGGGUGACCGGCACAUUGGGACUGAGACACGGCCCAAAAUCCUACGGGAGCAGCAGUGGGGAAUAUUGCACAAUGGGGGAAACCCUGAAUGCAGCGACGCCGCGUGAGCGAAG